rnacentral:rRNA from 1 species
GAUGAGCGCUGGCGGCGUGCCUAAUACAUGCAAGUCGAGCGGUAAGGCCCCUUCGGGGGUACACGAGCGGCGGACGGCUGAGUAACACGUAGGAACGUACCCCAAAGUGAGGGAUAACUGCUCGAAAGAGUAGCUAAUACCGCAUGUGAUCCACGGAUUAAAGCUUUAUGCGCUUUGGGAACGGCCUGCGUCCGAUUAGCUUGUUGGUGAGGUAAUAGCUCACCAAGGCGAUGAUCGGUAGCUGGUCUGAGAGGAUGAUCAGCCAGACUGGGACUGAGACACGGCCCAGACUCCUACGGGAGGCAGCAGUAGGGAAUUUUCCACAAUGGGCGAAAGCCUGAUGGAGCAACGCCGCGUGCAGGAUGAAUGCCUUAGGGUUGUAAACUGCUUUUAAUAGUGACGAUUAUGACGGUACCGUAUGAAUAAGCACCGGCUAACUACGUGCCAGCAGCCGCGGUAA